GACAGAGGGUGCGAACGUUGUUCGGAAUUACUGGGCGUAAAGCGCGUGUAGGCUGUUCGGAAAGUCGGGUGUGAAAGCCCUGGGCUCAACCUAGGAAGUGCACUCGAAACUCCCGAACUGGAGUCCCGGAGAGGAAGGUGGAAUUCUCGGUGUAGAGGUGAAAUUCGUAGAUAUCGAGAGGAACACCAGUGGCGAAGGCGAGUCUCUGGACAUUUCCUGACGCUGAGGCACGAAAGCCAGGGGAGCAAACGGG
rnacentral:rRNA from 1 species